CAGCCGCCGCGGUAAUACGUAGGGUGCAAGCGUUGUCCGGAAUUAUUGGGCGUAAAGAGCUCGUAGGCGGUUUGUCGCGUCUGCUGUGAAAUCCCGAGGCUCAACCUCGGGCUUGCAGUGGGUACGGGCAGACUAGAGUGCGGUAGGGGAGAUUGGAAUUCCUGGUGUAGCGGUGGAAUGCGCAGAUAUCAGGAGGAACACCGAUGGCGAAGGCAGAUCUCUGGGCCGUAACUGACGCUGAGGAGCGAAAGCGUGGGGAGCGAACAGGAUUAGAUACCCCUGUAGUCCCUGUCUCUUAUAA
rnacentral:rRNA from 1 species